rnacentral:rRNA from 1 species
AGAGUUUGAUCCUGGCUCAGGAUGAACGCUGGCGGCGUGCUUAACACAUGCAAGUCGAACGGUGAACACGGAGCUUGCUCUGUGGGAUCAGUGGCGAACGGGUGAGUAACACGUGAGCAACCUGCCCCUGACUCUGGGAUAAGCGCUGGAAACGGCGUCUAAUACUGGAUAUGUGACGUGACCGCAUGGUCUGCGUCUGGAAAGAAUUUCGGUUGGGGAUGGGCUCGCGGCCUAUCAGCUUGUUGGUGAGGUAAUGGCUCACCAAGGCGUCGACGGGUAGCCGGCCUGAGAGGGUGACCGGCCACACUGGGACUGAGACACGGCCCAGACUCCUACGGGAGGCAGCAGUGGGGAAUAUUGCACAAUGGGCGCAAGCCUGAUGCAGCAACGCCGCGUGAGGGACGACGGCCUUCGGGUUGUAAACCUCUUUUAGCAGGGAAGAAGCGAAAGUGACGGUACCUGCAGAAAAAGCGCCGGCUAACUACGUGCCAGCAGCCGCGGUAAUACGUAGGGCGCAAGCGUUAUCCGGAAUUAUUGGGCGUAAAGAGCUCGUAGGCGGUUUGUCGCGUCUGCUGUGAAAUCCGGAGGCUCAACCUCCGGCCUGCAGUGGGUACGGGCAGACUAGAGUGCGGUAGGGGAGAUUGGAAUUCCUGGUGUAGCGGUGGAAUGCGCAGAUAUCAGGAGGAACACCGAUGGCGAAGGCAGAUCUCUGGGCCGUAACUGACGCUGAGGAGCGAAAGGGUGGGGAGCAAACAGGAUUAGAUACCCUGGUAGUCC